AAGUAAGGCUCUGAGCACAGAGCCAGCUGUGUCUGCCGGUGGUCAACAUUACGCACUCAGAUUUAUGUGGAAUUUAUUCCUAAUGAAACUGGGCCUUUGGGCAAGACUGCACCUCCAUGGUGCUCACACAGAAGAUGCACACAGACCCAGUGCUUGUCCUGCCUCCUCUGACAUCCUAGGUGCACAGGAUGUAAUUAAGCUUUCUUUUAAGUGCAUGGAAGAAGCUACUGCUGUUAAAGCAGGGACAUACUGAAGAAACUCCUAAGGACCCUUCAUUAGGGUCAGUGCUGCCUUCUUUGACCCUCUACCCUGGCAAGCUGGAUGGGGAACUCUGAGAAAUCUGUCUGUGCAGAGUGUUCAUCGGCCAGUAAGACCCCUUUAGGAUGAAACCUGGCAUUUCUUCCAAAAGGCCUCCCAACCUUUUCCAGAACAGAGAAUGGAAGAGAGUACUUCUGAGUUAAACUCAAGACUACUAUAAAGUAACAAGUUAGUACUAAGGAAAUUCGUUUCUGCAACUGACUCACUUUUUCCUUGCUUUGGUUCUCCUGGAAGAGUUACUGGGAAUCCCUAAAUAACUUCGGCCAAGCCCAAAACCAUAAGUGAAAUGGAAUGCAAGUCACUAAUCUUAGAACCACUCCUAACUUUACUAUGUUUAAUUAGUUUAUCACCUAAAACACUAAUGGUAUGUUCACAGACCUUGGGCCUCUACCUUCCCCAAUAGAUUCAUACGUUUUUAUGCUUUUGGAUUGAGGCAUUAGGAGGCCACAUCAUAUC
rnacentral:lncRNA from 1 species